rnacentral:rRNA from 1 species
AUGACAAGAGGUUGGCUUGCCUGGGGGUCGAGGAUUACUCCGGAAAAAGUGCGAAACGAUCGCGGAAAGAUUUGUCGAAAACAGUUCUCUCUUGGAGGGGGCUGUUUAUGGGCAAGGGCAAAGUGGUCAUUUUUACUGUGUGGAAACAUAAUGAAAAUGAUACCAACGGAAAGAUUUCGGCGAGACGAAGACGUGAGCGUUGGUUUCACCUUAAUCGGAGUUACGGUUGUCAAGAUGCGAAGGGUUGAAGUUCAGGGACCUAUCGGUGAUUUUUUUUCAGCAAACAGGCCCGUGGAGGAAAAACUGAACGCGCCUUUGGGCCGAAUACGUUUUCCGCAUGGGGAAACGCUUUUUAACCCGAAGUGCCCAAGGAAUAUGUUUUCCGACCUGGAAAACGUAUACAAUAUGAAUACGUUUCCAGAGCAGGGAAACGGCUUCAGGGUGGGCACGUCCACUUAUCCGACGUGGCCAGCGGGGCCACGCCCUCCUCUUGCCGAUAGGUGGGUCCCGCAGGGUGGGCCCCAUCUGGCCUGGCUUCUUCUUCCUCUAGCGCGUACGCGCGCCUUGCCGAGGGAGGUAGCCGCCCCGACGGCGCUCGCCGGUGACUCCGGGCACCGUUCGCGACGCCCGACCUAUCCACGAGCUCGGGAGCGAGAGGCGCAUACCGUGGUGGUGUCCGUUGCCGGCGAGGAGCACCGGAGAAGGAGCAGUAGGGAUCGCGGCGGAGGUGGUCUUCGGACUCCGGUGAACUGGGGGCUCCGGUGGGGGAACUGGGUUGGCGAGGCUACGGGAAGGUGCGCCGGACCUCGGGGGACGCAUAGGUGGUGGUGGAACGCCGAGGGGGCACGGCAUUGCCGGGAUCGAGCGAAGCACGAAACGGCGGCCAUGGCGACGGGGAUGGGUCAGAGAGCUCCUCGAGCUCGCUAG